rnacentral:lncRNA from 1 species
UUCAAUUGAAUUGUACUAGCAUACGAUUUAUUUUAAUCUUUAAUUACGUUUUUAUUUUCAUAUUUUAUAUUUUAGUGUAUGUUUUUAAAACCAGAUUAUAAUUAUUUUUUUUGCAAAAAAUUUUUAAAUAAAAAAUCCGCAAAAACGUAAAAUCUAUAGUUUUUUUAAAAUAUCUACAAAACGAAACAUACUAGGUACAUACACCCUUAUACCAAAAGAAAGGUUGUAAUAUUUAUUACAAAACGCAAAACUAAUAUACAGGGUGUCCCAUUUAAAAAAAAUGAGAAAAUUUUGUAUUUGCAAAGAGUGAUCACACUGUAUAUUUUAUGGCUAAGAGUAAAAAAUAUUAAAUUAUUUAAAAAUAACACUAUAUUUUAAAAACUUUGAUCUAUCAACUAAAUUUUUAUUUCCUUGGAAACAUAAUCCACAACCCUACAAAUAUUACCAUUUUUCUCAAUAAAAAUGUAAAUAUUUCGAAAAUUAUUAACUUUAGGCCUAUAAGACCUUAUAAAAAUUUUUCAUAUUUUUAAAUACUAUAUUAAAAAAUGGUUUAAUAUACAGGGUGUUCCAUUUAAAAAAAUACAACUUCGGUUCAUACCGUCGUUCUGACUCACCCUGUAUAAUUGAAAAUAAUUUUAAAUUAUAGACCUCUUUGAUACACAUUAGUUUUGUUAUAAACAUUUUUUUGUAUAUCUCAUAGUUUAGCCGUAAUCAAAGAAGACCAGAGGUUUGGCGCACCCUGUAUAUCUAUUCUAAUCUAUAUCUCUAUUUUAUUUAUUUUAUUAACCUGUUCUAUUCUAUUCUGUUUCAAAUCAAACACUUUACUCAAACAAAGAAAUAAACGACAUUCAAAAGCUUCUAAUAAAAAAAUCAUUGCAUUGGUACUACUGAAAAUAUUGACAUUUUUACAACAUUUAUUCCAAGUUCCUUCAAUUUUUUUGAGGACAAGAAAAUUUUGCUUUCAAGAAAUUCACGAAUUUAUUGACGUCAAGUUAAUAACGAACAAAUAUGGAUGUCAAAUUGUGCUUUGAGAACACGUCAAAUUUGGCCUUGAAUAACUUGGUCAAUUUAUUGUUCAAUUUAUUGUUCAAUUUAUUGUUCAAUUUAUUGUUGAUGUAAAGUGCACUUAAAGGUGGCUAUGCAAUGGUAAAAACCAGAGACGUAUGACGUAGUUAUAUUAAUAUUAUGUGACACAUGACAGAAGCUCGAAACAAAUGACAAUCGAUGAAAAGCCCUAUUUACGAGACUCGCUCGAACUGUAGAUGCUUGUAUCCUUAAGUCCACUUUACAUCAACAAUGGGUGCGUUCGGACGACCAUAGCGGCUGGCGGUCAGCAGAAAUCGGCUGAGUGGUUGUAUCCAGCCUUGAUAGGGAAAGCUUAGUAAAUCUCUCAGCGGCUGGCUUCCAGCGGUGACGUCUGACAGCUACUUCUGGCUCAGCUGUCCAGCCGCUGUGGUCGUCCGAACGCACCCAAUAAAUUGGACAAGAAAUUGACCAAGUUAUUCAAGGCCAAAUUUGACGUGUAAAAGCACACUUUGACAUCUAAGUUUGUUCGUUAUAAACUUCACGUGAAGAAAUUGACGAAAAAGAAAAUUGUUCUAUUUUUUCAUUUUAUUUGGCGUGAAUUCAGUGUCACCAACCUGUGUCCAUUUGGCGGGAAGUGGAAGUAGAGCUUUUUGUUUAUUAUUAUUUGUUGAGGUUGAGUCUUUCAUGUUCAUGACAACCUAAAAAUUUUGAUUGGAAAAUGCAUAUGAUAAGGGGGUGGAAAAAUGGAAAUUAGUGGCUUUUUUUUUGCAGUUCUGUCUGUUAGUUUUGCGUUUUGCUCUGGCUGGGUCUCUUUUGUUUAAACAAUUAUAAUCAGCUGAAAGUGGUCUACAAAAAAAACCAGGAAGGAAACGUAUUAUAGCCUUGUUGUGGCUAUGAAAGGCAAAAGAAAGAUACCUAUAAAAAGUGUAUUGACUAGUUGGAAGAAACUCCACAUUGUCGAUGCAUAAUAAGAUAUUACUUUAUAAACAACUAUCAAGACCUAGGAAUGGAACCUGGAUAAUAUAGUCAUCAAGAAGAUAGCAGGAAGUCAUGAGCAACAACAACUUCAUAAGUAUGAGAAUAUUGAGGAAAUCCAGCUCCUCAUAUCUACUACUGGACAAACUAGAAGAUUGAAGAGGACAAAGCCUUUUGAACUAGUUUGAGUGAUAGGUGAUAGUGAAAAGCAGAGCGUAGUGCUUGUGUGCCUGUGUAUGUUAGAAUAGUGCACGAUCUUGUUAGAUUAGAUAAGAGACGCUAUGGGGUAAGCUCUUCAUUUUAAGGAACAGUAGUAAUUUAGGUUAAAUUAAAAUUGCUCAUUGGUCAGUUAUGACCAGAUUGUAAUUCUCUGAUGUUUGGCAAAAAGGGCUUAAGUCAGAAUUGCACAUCAAUAAUGUUUUGAUGAUUUCUGGACCAUAAAAAAAGUGUUGCAGACUUAAACUGUAUGUACCAAUAAAAAGAGCCGAUUUUUCUGGUCCAGAAAUCAUCAAAACAUUAUCGAUGUGCAAUUCUGACUUAAGCCCUUUUUCCCAAACAUCAGAGAAUUGCAAUGUACAAUUCAAUACAAAUGAAUCAUCAUCGUAGUGAUGAUUAUGGAAAAAAAUAUAUGACAAGAUUUUGUGCAAUAAAAAUGUUUAUAUUUA